rnacentral:rRNA from 1 species
GACGAACGCUGGCGGCGUGCUUAACACAUGCAAGUCGAACGGAAAGGCCCUGCUUUUGUGGGGUGCUCGAGUGGCGAACGGGUGAGUAACACGUGAGUAACCUGCCCUUGACUUUGGGAUAACUUCAGGAAACUGGGGCUAAUACCGGAUAGGAGCUCCUGCUGCAUGGUGGGGGUUGGAAAGUUUCGGCGGGUGGGGAUGGACGCGCGGCUUAUCAGCUUGCUGGUGGGGUAGUGGCUUACCAAGGCUUUGACGGGUAGGCGGCCUGAGAGGGUGACCGGCCACCUUGGGACUGAGAUACGGCCCAGACUGCUACGGGAGGCAGCAGUGGGGAAUAUUGCACAAUGGGCGGAAGCCUGAUGCAGCAACGCCGCGUGCGGGAUGACGGCCUUCGGGUUGUAAACCGCUUUCGCCUGUGACGAAGCGUGAGUGACGGUAAUGGGUAAAGAAGCACCGGCUAACUACGUG